rnacentral:rRNA from 1 species
AACGAACGCUGGCGGCAGGCUUAACACAUGCAAGUCGAACGGGCACCUUCGGGUGUCAGUGGCAGACGGGUGAGUAACGCGUGGGAACGUACCCUUCGGUUCGGAGUAACCCAGGGAAACUUGGGCUAAUACCGGAUACGUCCGUAAGGAGAAAGAUUUAUUGCCGAAGGAUCGGCCCGCGUCGGAUUAGCUAGUUGGUGGGGUAAUGGCCCACCAAGGCGACGAUCCGUAGCUGGUCUGAGAGGAUGAUCAGCCACACUGGGACUGAGACACGGCCAGACUCCUACGGGAGGCAGCAGUGGGGAAUAUUGGACAAUGGGCGAAAGCCUGAUCCAGCCAUGCCGCGUGAGUGAAGAAGGCCUUAGGGUUGUAAAGCUCUUUCAGCGGGGAANAUAAUGACGGUACCGCAGAAGAAGUCCCGGCUAACUUCGUGCCAACAGCCGCCGCUGUAAC